AUACGGAGGAUGCGAGCGUUAUCCGGAUUUAUUGGGUUUAAAGGGAGCGUAGGUGGGAUAUUAAGUCAGCUGUGAAAGUUUGGGGCUCAACCUUAAAAUUGCAGUUGAUACUGGUUUCCUUGAGUACGGUACAGGUGGGCGGAAUUCGUGGUGUAGCGGUGAAAUGCUUAGAUAUCACGAAGAACUCCGAUCGCGAAGGCAGCUCACCGGGCCGGAACUGACACUGAUGCUCGAAAGUGCGGGUAUCAAACAGGAUUAGAUACCCUGGUAGUCCGCACAGUAAACGAUGAAUACUCGCUGUUUGCGAUACACUGUAGGCGGCCAAGCGAAAGCGAUAAGUAUUCCACCUGGGGAGUACGCCGGCAACGGUGAAACUCAAAGGAAUUGACGGGG
rnacentral:rRNA from 1 species